rnacentral:rRNA from 1 species
GAUGAACGCUGGCGGCGUGCUUAACACAUGCAAGUCGAACGGGAUCCCAGGAGCUUGCUCCUGGGUGAGAGUGGCGAACGGGUGAGUAAUGCGUGACCGACCUGCCCCAUACACCGGAAUAGCUCCUGGAAACGGGUGGUAAUGCCGGAUGCUCCAGUUGGAUGCAUGUCCUUCUGGGAAAGAUUCUAUCGGUAUGGGAUGGGGUCGCGUCCUAUCAGCUUGAUGGCGGGGUAACGGCCCACCAUGGCUUCGACGGGUAGCCGGCCUGAGAGGGCGACCGGCCACAUUGGGACUGAGAUACGGCCCAGACUCCUACGGGAGGCAGCAGUGGGGAAUAUUGCACAAUGGGCGCAAGCCUGAUGCAGCGACGCCGCGUGCGGGAUGACGGCCUUCGGGUUGUAAACCGCUUUUGACU